AAACUACUCCCUCCGUCCAACAAAAGAUGUCUCAACUUCGACCAAAUUUGAAUGCAUUUAUACACUAAAUAAUGUCUAGAUACAUCCAAACUUGAAACAUUUUUUGUUGGACAGAGGAAGUACUAG
rfam:Brachypodium distachyon strain Bd21 chromosome 1, whole genome shotgun sequence.